GGGCUAUAUUCGAACCUUCUUUGCUGGAUCACUGCUGCUGCCAUCGACCACCGCCGAUGCAGAGGGCGUGGGUGAUUGACGAGGCGGCGCAGGUGCGUCGGGGCUCGUCGGUGCGCCGCGCCCGACCACUCGCCGCCGUCUGCGUCGCGCCUCGAUUCAGAGACGCCGCUGUCCCUCUGCAACGCGUCCAUAACGCGGGCUUGGAGUCCGGAAAUGGAGGGUGACUGAUGGUGGAGGUCUUGCACGCCUCCGGGCGGUGAACGGCGACAAGGAGCUUCGAGCUCCUGCCGGAGUGGUCGACGAACGGUGAGGAAGCAGGCUGGUGUUUGGAGACGUCGCCGCUUUCCUUAGACGCGGCUUCGAGCCGCGGCCGGCGUAAAGACCACCGGACGCGCGACGUCGUCGGCGUCGCCUCAUCAAGCGGUGGCGUCGCUGCUCCGACCGCGGCGGCGGUAGGCUGACGAGAAAGGAGGCGCCAGCUGCUGCUGCAAAUCCUUUUCUCCAACCCUUGCUGCUGAAAAUUGGAUUUUGGGCUUUAAGUGUUUGGGCCCAAUCUGGGCUUGUUUAUUUUAUUAAAUGGGCUGCUGUUGUUGACCUGUUUGUGGGCUGCAAAUAUGAUUUAUUAAAGGGGGCUGGGCCUGUUUUAAUAAAUGGCCCAAAUUGGGC
rnacentral:lncRNA from 1 species